rnacentral:lncRNA from 1 species
GGAGUCUCACUCUGUCACCCAGGCCGGAGGGCAGUGGCACGAUCUUGGCUCACUGCAACUUUUGUACAUCGUGGAUACAUGUCAUUGUACAUUUGUCCAAACACAUAGAAUACAGGACACCAAGAGUGAACCCUGACAUAAACUGUGGACUUUGGGUGAUAACGACAUGUCAGUGGAGGUUCACCAGUUGUAACAAAUGUACCCACUGUGUGGGAUGUUGGUAAUUAUCCCAAUGGGGGAGGUUAUGCAUGUGUGAAAGCAGGGAAUAUAUGGAAAACU